rnacentral:rRNA from 1 species
UACGGAGGAUCCAAGCGUUAUCCGGAAUCAUUGGGUUUAAAGGGUCCGUAGGCGGUUUGGUAAGUCAGUGGUGAAAGCCCAUCGCUCAACGGUGGAACGGCCAUUGAUACUGCCAGGCUUGAAUUAUUAGGAAGUAACUAGAAUAUGUAGUGUAGCGGUGAAAUGCUUAGAGAUUACAUGGAAUACCAAUUGCGAAGGCAGGUUACUACUAAUGGAUUGACGCUGAUGGACGAAAGCGUGGGUAGCGAACAGG